AGAGUCGAUCGGACAGUCGCUGCCUUCUUUUGUUUCGCAAAAGAGGGGGGAGGAAAGUCCGGGCUCCAUAGGGCAGAGUGCCAGGUAACGCCUGGGGGGCGCGAGCCUACGGAAAGUGCCACAGAAAACAACCGCCUAAGCACUUCGGUGCCGGUAAGGGUGAAAAGGUGCGGUAAGAGCGCACCGCACGACUGGCAACAGUUCGUGGCUAGGUAAACCCCACUCGGAGCAAGACCAAAUAGGGUUCC
rnacentral:RNase_P_RNA from 1 species